rnacentral:rRNA from 1 species
GUCUACAACCAUACCAUCCUGAAUGUACCAGAUCUCAUCUCAUCUAGGAAGCUAAGCAGGGUCGGGCCUGGCUAGUACUUGAGUGGGAGAAAUUAGAGUCUGGGUAAAAAGGUAGAUU